rnacentral:rRNA from 1 species
CCUACGGGUGGCAGCAGUGAGGAAUAUUGGUCAAUGGGCGCGAGCCUGAACCAGCCAAGUAGCGUGAAUGAUGACUGCCCUACGGGUUGUAAACUUCUUUUAUAAAGGAAUAAAGUGAGGCACGUGUGCCUUUUUGUAUGUACUUUAUGAAUAAGGAUCGGCUAACUCCGCGCCAGCAGCCGCGGUAAUACGGAGGAUACGAGCGUUAUCCGGAUUUAUUGGGUUUAAAGGGAGCGUAGAUGGGUUGGUAAGUCAGUUGUGAAAGUUUGCGGCUCAACCGUAAAAUUGCAAUUGAUACUGGCAGCCUUGAGUACAGUAGAGGUAGGUAGAAUUCGAGGUGUAGCGGUGAAAUGCGUAGAGAUCAGGAAGAACACCGAUUGCGAAGGCAGCCUACUAGACUGACACUGACAUUGAUGCGCGAAAGUGUGGGUAUCAAACAGGAUUAGAUACCCCAGUAGUC